UUCUCUCACGUGAAGUGCUGAGGACAAGGAUCUACCAAGUCAUAUGACCAUGAUCCAACUAAAGGGCCAACCCUUGGUAUUCAGGUGGGUGCUUACAAUGGAAUCCCCAGCAGGAUCCUUUCUUCCCUCACUGCAUCUCAGAACCUUCUCCACACAGCAGCAUCACCUGGAAACAGCCUCAGCUCCCUGCACAUGCUGCAGGCCAGCAUGGUGGCCACCUCAGUGACACGCAGGCCACCUCAGUGACACAGACGUGGAGUCACAGACAGCAGCAGUGAAAUGAUGGCCUUAAACACUGCAACUCAGGCUUAUGUGAAGAAGCCCACGCCCACUCUCAACAAAACAGACUCCUCCUUGGGAAGCAUCUCCAGCCCUGGGACGGACACCUCGCUGUGACUUAGGGAGGGACAGGAUUAGCCCAGGAAUAAAAGCAUUUUUAGAAA
rnacentral:lncRNA from 1 species